rnacentral:rRNA from 1 species
GAUGAACGCUGGCUACAGGCUUAACACAUGCAAGUCGAGGGGAAACGACGGGGAAGCUUGCUUCCCCGGGCGUCGACCGGCGCACGGGUGAGUAACGCGUAUCCAACCUGCCUCUGACUGAGGGAUAACCCGUCGAAAGUCGGCCUAAUACCUCAUGGCAUCGUCUGCGGGCAUCCAACGACGAUUAAAGAUUUCAUCGGUCAGGGAUGGGGAUGCGUCUGAUUAGCUUGUUGGCGGGGUAACGGCCCACCAAGGCUACGAUCAGUAGGGGUUCUGAGAGGAAGGUCCCCCACAUUGGAACUGAGACACGGUCCAAACUCCUACGGGAGGCAGCAGUGAGGAAUAUUGGUCAAUGGGCGGGAGCCUGAACCAGCCAAGUAGCGUGCAGGAUGACGGCCCUAUGGGUUGUAAACUGCUUUUAUGCGGGGAUAAAGUGAGGGACGUGUCCUUCAUUGCAGGUACCGCAUGAAUAAGGACCGGCCAAUUCCGUG